UCUUUUCUUUUAAUAUCUCUCUACUCCAUACUCUCUCUCUCUCUGAAUCUACUUUCUUAUGCUUGAAUAAAACUAUAAGUUUUAUAAAUCCCUACUUGCUUACUAUUUUCACUAUACUAUUUCAUUAUAUAUUCCCGAUCUGGCAUCAGGAAAUGUACCCCUUUUCUUUUAAUAUCUCUCUACUCCAUACUCUCUCUGUGAAUCUACUUUCUUAUGCUUAAAUAAAACUAUAUUUUUAUAAAUCCCUACUUGCUUAUUAUUUUCACGAUAAUAUUUCAUAUAUUCCCGAUCCGUUCAUUGGUAUCAGAGCCAUGUUAGCCCCAGUUAAGUUCCAAAACUGGCUUCCAAGCCC
rnacentral:lncRNA from 1 species